UCGCUUAUAUCGGACAAAACCAGUGGGAACAAUUGAAUCCGAUAUAUCCGAGGUUUACUGUAUUUCAAUCACACCUGCCGGCGCUCUGAGAUGUUUCAGGUGCGGAGUCCACAACAUUGCUGGUGGUGGUGGCAUAGUCGAUCGGCGCCGCCGCAGUGGCGUUCAACUCCAGGUCACAGAUCCAUCACAAACUAAGACCUUCCAGUUUGGGCUCUUGGACAAUCCACAGUGAUGCCGCCUACGUUUUACUGAAGAGGAACAGAUGGACUCCGCAUGCCAGCAUGAAAAGUUCAUGUACAAGCUCAACAAGAACGUCUUCAUCAUCCACCAACUGAAGACUGAAGAUCUCUUCUCGGAGGAUUCAUCCCAGGUAGUAAAAAGCUGAAAAAAAACAAAAAAACAGAUUAUCCAUCCACCCCCGAACCCCGAUCUUCCCAAAUCUACUGUGUGGCCCUCCAUUCUAACCACUGUUCCACCAUGCGGUGAUUAUGAUUUAUCCGUUUGAAUCUCCGAUGUCAGAAUAGCUACGUGACACUGUUGCCAC